UACAGAGGUGCCGAGCGUUAGGCGGAAUCACUGGGCUUAAAGCGUGUGUAGGCGGGCGAUCAAGUACCUUGUGAAAUCCCACGGCUCAACCGUGGAACCGCUGGGGAUACUGGUUGGCUUGAGCCGGGUAGGGGCGAGCGGAACAGACGGUGUAGCGGUGAAAUGCGUAGAUAUCGUCUGGAACGCCGAAGGUGAAAACAGCUCGCUGGGGCCGCGCUGACGCUGAGACACGAAAGCCAGGGGAGCGAACGGG
rnacentral:rRNA from 1 species